UACCAGCACCCCGAGUGGUCGGGACGAUUAUUGGGCCUAAAGCAUCCGUAGCCGGUCCUACAAGUCUUCCGUUAAAUCCACCUGCUUAACAGAUGGGCUGCGGGGGAUACUACAGGGCUAGGAGGCGGGAGAGGCAAACGGUACUCAGUGGGUAGGGGUAAAAUCCUCUGAUCCACUGAAGACCACCAGUGGCGAAGGCGGUUUGCCAGAACGCGCUCGACGGUGAGGGAUGAAAGCUGGGGAGCAAACCGG
rnacentral:rRNA from 1 species